GCGAGUCAGAGGAAGCCCACAUGAUUGGGCAUAAUAUGUGACUAUUAUGGAGGUGGACCCAAAAUGUUCAACACGCAAGGAUCACAGAUUCAGUGGAAAUCUGUCGACUUUUGGCAUAUUAAGUGAGCAGUUUGAGCUGAGAAUUUACAACUUGAAUGUUACCACACAUGGAAUAGAAUUGAAGUGACACAUCCUUCAGACAUAACCCCCCAUAUGUCUUUCUGUUGAUUUAAAU